rnacentral:rRNA from 1 species
AAUGAACGCUGGCGGCAUGCCUUACACAUGCAAGUCGAACGGCAGCACGGGAGCAAUCCUGGUGGCGAGUGGCGAACGGGUGAGUAAUAUAUCGGAACGUGCCCGGUCGUGGGGGAUAACGUAGCGAAAGCUACGCUAAUACCGCAUACGAUCUACGGAUGAAAGCGGGGGAUCGCAAGACCUCGCGCGAUUGGAGCGGCCGAUAUCAGAUUAGGUAGUUGGUGAGGUAAAGGCUCACCAAGCCGACGAUCUGUAGCUGGUCUGAGAGGACGACCAGCCACACUGGGACUGAGACACGGCCCAGACUCCUACGGGAGGCAGCAGUGGGGAAUUUUGGACAAUGGGCGCAAGCCUGAUCCAGCAAUGCCGCGUGCAGGAUGAAGGCCUCGGUUGUAACUAGCUUUGUUACGGUAACG